GCGUCCGUGGCUCAGGGGUAGAGCGUCCGCCGACAGGGCGGAAGGUCGCCGGUUCGAUUCCGGCCGGGUGGGCCA
rnacentral:tRNA from 1 species